rnacentral:rRNA from 1 species
AGGGUUUGAUCAUGGCUCAGGAUGAACGCUAGCGGCAGGCUUAAUACAUGCAAGUCGAACGGUAACAGGUCUUCGGAUGCUGACGAGUGGCGCACGGGUGAGUAACGCGUACAAAACCUGCCUUUUACUGGGGGAAAGUCGCUGGAAACGGCGAAUAAUCCCGCAUAAUAUUGUUGAAUCGCAUGGUUUAAUAAUUAAAGGCUUCGGUCGGUAAAAGAUGGUUGUGCGUUCCAUUAGCUAGAUGGUAAGGUAACGGCUUACCAUGGCGACGAUGGAUAGGGGGCGUGAGAGCGUGAACCCCCACACGGGUACUGAGACACGGACCCGACUCCUACGGGAGGCAGCAGUAAGGAAUAUUGGUCAAUGGAGGCAACUCUGAACCAGCCAUGCCGCGUGCAGGAAGACUGCCCUAUGGGUUGUAAACUGCUUUUAUACAGGAAGAAACUGCGCUACGUGUAGCGUACUGACGGUACUGUAAGAAUAAGGAUCGGCUAACUCCGUGCCAGCCGCCGCGGUAAUAC